UCUACCUGAAACCCUCAUUUGUUUCGUCCAGCUUCCCUCGCCUGGCGGCGCCAUUAGGGAACGCCGCCGCCGCCUGAAGUCCAGGCCCUAACGCCGCCUCGUAUCCAGCUCCCCCCAACCUAAGCCUCAAGGUGAGUUUCUCCAGCAGCACCUUCGAUCGACAGGAUCCACACCCUUCGCAGAAAACAUGAAGGACGGCGUGCAGACGUGCAGUCUCUGUGGUCGCGCUCGCCAAUCAAGCUGACGCGGCUUCCCUUCGACACGCUGAGGAAGCGGUGUUUGUCCUGGUGAAUCAAUCUAUCUCUUCUCCUCCGUCUAUUUCCCUUGAUUUGUUCAUUCCAUUCUUUGAUUUCCAGCCCUUUGCAGAUCCAGUGGAAAACAUACGACGGUGUACCCAGAUGAAUCGGGGAUGCGUCAGCAAUUUGUAGUGUUCCCCACUAUAUAUCCUUGUCAUCGAAAACUACAGCCGUCGAGGGACUCUGCCGAUGUCGCCGUGCAAUCGUCAACUAGUUUCUGUUGCGGGGAGCGGAUCGCUGGGCUGCUGUAAUUAACAUCAGUAGGCGGAAGAACUCACAUAUAUUCGAGUAUUGAUGGACAGGGGGAACAAUUCUUGUUAUGGAUUACAAUCCACUCAGGUUCUUUGGUGUUGUCUGGUGCAAGGAUGGCUGAGGAAUCAAGUCUUUUUUUUUGUUUCAACUCAAAUAUAACGAUCACUGGUGGAAAAAGGGCCUUUGGUCGCGGUUCGCAACUGCCAUUAGUCGCGGUUGCGCAACCGCGACCAAAGUAUCGCGACUAAAGGCCCCCCCUUUAGUCGCGGUUCCUUAUGAACCGCGACUAAAGGCCCGUCCACGUGGGCGCCAGGCGGCCGUCCGGGCGGAGGACCUUUAGUCGCGGUUCUUCUGGCCAACCGCGACUAAAGGCCGCCGCAGGUUUAGGGUUUAUGGCCCCCCCUAAACCUGCCCCCCCCCCCCCCCCUAAACAUAUUUUGUGUUUAAUUUGUAUAUUGUUUUAUUUCUUUUGUGCUUUAUUGUAAUUUUGAAGGAGUUUCACAUAUUCUACGGUACUACAUAUAUACAUGCAUAUGAAUGUACAAUUUCAAACAAAUUUGAAAUUAUAACCAAAAAGAAUUCAAGAGGAAUAUACAAUAUAUAUUCAAUAUCAUCGGAUGACCAUAUACAAGUUUGAACAAGUUUCCAUACAUAAUUUAAUGCAUGUAUAGUUCUACGUCGUCGCAAUGGUGUUCUCCUUUAGGAUGGAGGACUUCCCUCCUGAACCAUCCAGCUAGUUCCUCUUGAAGUGGUCGGAAGCGAGCUUCUGGACUAAGCAUCGACCGGAGGUGAUUCCUCUGAGCAUUGAGAUCACUCGGAACGCGCUCAGAGGUGUAUCUCCGGAUCAUCUCACAGACAUAGUAUCCACACAGAUUGGUUCCCGGUGGCUGCAUAUCGCUACCAUUCUUAGCCUUUGACCGCAUGAAAUUUAGCUCUUUCUUGAAUUC